UACGAAGGGGGCUAGCGUUGCUCGGAAUCACUGGGCGUAAAGGGUGCGUAGGCGGGUCUUUAAGUCAGGGGUGAAAUCCUGGAGCUCAACUCCAGAACUGCCUUUGAUACUGAAGAUCUUGAGUUCGGGAGAGGUGAGUGGAACUGCGAGUGUAGAGGUGAAAUUCGUAGAUAUUCGCAAGAACACCAGUGGCGAAGGCGGCUCACUGGCCCGGUACUGACGCUGAGGCGACGAAGCGUGGGAGCAAACAGG
rnacentral:rRNA from 1 species